rnacentral:rRNA from 2 species
GAUGAACGCUGGCGGCGCGCCUAACACAUGCAAGUCGAACGGUUAAAGCACCUUUUAGGUGUGUAUAAAGUGGCGAACGGCUGAGUAACACGUGGGCAACCUGCCCUCCUCUUGGGGAUAGCCUCGGGAAACCGAGGAUAAUACCCGAUACUUCAAUGUGGCCGCAUGACGACAUUGAGAAAGCUUUUGCGGAGAAGGAUGGGCCCGCGGCCUGUUAGCUUGUUGGUGGGGUAGAGGCCUACCAAGGCAAUGAUGGGUAGCUGGGUUGAGAGACCGACCAGCCAGAUUGGGACUGAGACACGGCCCAGACUCCUACGGGAGGCAGCAGUGGGGAAUCUUGCACAAUGGGCGAAAGCCUGAUGCAGCGACGCCGCGUGCGGGACGAAGGCCUUUCGGGUUGUAAACCGCUUUCAGCAGGGACGAGGCGAAAGUGACGGUACCUGCAGAAGAAGCCC